ACUCAGUCCAGCGUGUUCCAGAAGGGGAAGUGACAUCAAUGCAUACCCUCUAUACUACAACAGAAGUAGUGCAGGAAUACAAAUGCAGAAAGUAGGACACUCAGGCCAGUUUGGCUUAAGGCCACGCCACUGGGCACAGACUCAAGACGGAGCUUAAGACUGACAGUGAGCGCAGUUGGAUGGCAGAUCUGAGCCAAAUCUGACCAUUCUCACAAUAGAUCUGGGACACUCCCUUUUUUGUUUUCUUUUUGCCAAGCCUGGUUUACAGGAGACAUGUAGUGCAACUUAAAUGCUUUCACCGUUGCUGCUACUGCCAGGACAGUGGAAUCCAUAUCUUUCAUGUCUUAACCAUCACACACAUGAAACACCUUCAGACUGUCAUACAAACAUCAAAGAAAAUAAUAUGAAACUUAAAUGAUGCACUGUGAGGAACCCUCCCGGCCUCAGUUACUGUGAUCCUGACUCUGCUGUCAGUAGAGGUGGCCGUCACACUUGUACAGUGAGGUUACUGUUAAGGAGGUCAUAAAGCCACGUUCUGUAUGCAAUUUACUUUGGGUUUGGUGAGGCCCUGUGAACCAAUGGUUACUGGCGAAUAUGCCUUGGGCACUGGGAAUAUGUAAAUUACACGCAGAAAGCUUUGGCAGUGAUGUUGUCUGACAGCCAAACCAUACUAGCUAGUUAGCCCCUGAAUGUGCAGCUCAUAUAGCAAGUGUUGUGAGGAACCAGAACAGGAACAGUCUCCAACGUCAUCUAGAGCUUUUGUUGGGAUUUGUUUUGUUUCUCAGUGCAUUAUAUGGACUGUGGACAAACAAUAGUCACACGGAGAGUGCCAAUGAUGUUAGAACCAAGGUUGGUGUUUCUGGAAACAAAAUAAAACAUGCUAAACCACCUCUUAGUGCUUAUUUUCCAUAUACCUAUAAACAGAGGCUGCUACAUAAACAGUAUUUUGAGAAUUAAAAUUGUAUCUAUUCACAA